UACGUAGGCAGCGAGCGUUGUUCGGAAUUACUGGGCGUAAAGAGUGUGUAGGCGGUGCUCUAAGUUCGGUGUGAAAUCUCCCGGCUUAACUGGGAGGGUGCGCCGGAAACUGGAGUGCUCGAGCGUGGGAGAGGAAAGCGGAAUUCCUGGUGUAGCGGUGAAAUGCGUAGAUAUCAGGAGGAACACCUGCGGUGUAGACGGCUUUCUGGAUCGUUGCUGACGCUGAGACGCGAAAGCGUGGGGAGCAAACAGG
rnacentral:rRNA from 1 species